GACGAACGCUGGCGGCGUGCUUAACACAUGCAAGUCGAACGGAAAGGCCCUGCUUUUGUGGGGUGCUCGAGUGGCGAACGGGUGAGUAACACGUGAGUAACCUGCCCUUGACUUUGGGAUAACUUCAGGAAACUGGGGCUAAUACCGGAUAGGAGCUCCUGCUGCAUGUUGGGGGUUGGAAAGUUUCGGCGGUUGUGGAUGGACUCGCGGCUUAUCAGCUUGUUGGUGGGGUAGUGGCUUACCAAGGCUUUGACGGGUAGCCGGCCUGAGAGGGUGACCGGCCACAUUGGGACUGAGAUACGGACCAGACUCGAAUGGGAGGCAGCAGUGGGAAACAUUGCGCAGUGGGCGGACGCCUGAUACGGCAGCGCCGGGUGCGGGAUGACCGCCUACGGGUUGUAAACCGCUUUCGACUGUGACGAAGCGUGAGUGACGGUAAUGGGUAAAGAAGCACCGGCUAACUACGUG
rnacentral:rRNA from 1 species